UUAAGUAAGGAAGGGCGUACGGCGAAUGCCUUGCCACUCGAAACUGAAGAAGGACGCGCCAAACUGCGAAAAGCUCCGUGAAGCUGUAAGGAAGCGAAGAAGCGGAGGUGUCCGAAUGGGGGAACCCGGCAGCAGACAUGAGCUGUCAUCUGCAGGUGAAUACAUGGCCUGCAAGAGAGGUACCCGGCGAACUGAAACAUCUAAGUAGCCGGAGGAAAAGAAAACAACAGUGAUUCCCUGAGUAGCGGCGAGCGAAAGGGGAGAAGCCCAAACCGGUUGAAGGACCGGGGUUGAAGGACCAUGACAUGGCAAGAACGAGGAUAGGAGAACGGGAUCGAAAGCCCGGCCGAAGAAGGUGAAAGCCCUGUAACCGAAAUCCGAGUAAAGCCUAAUGGGAUCCUGAGUACGGCGAGACACGAGAAAUCUUGUCGGAAGCAGGCGGGACCAUCCGCCAAGGCUAAAUAUAAACGAGUGAGCGAUAGUGAACCAGUACCGUGAGGGAAAGGUGAAAAGAACCGCGGGAGCGGAGUGAAAGAGAACCUGAAACCGUAUGCCUACAAGAAGUCAGAGCCCGUUAAGGGGUGAUGGCGUGCCUUUUGUAGAAUGAACCGGCGAGUUGCGACAGACUGCGAGGUUAAGGAGGAAAGACCGGAGCCGAAGCGAAAGCGAGUCUUAAGAGGGCGAAAGUAGGAUGUUGCAGACCCGAAACCGGGUGAUCUAGCCAUGAGCAGGUUGAAGUUGAGGUGAAACUCAAUGGAGGACCGAACCGACUACCGUUGAAAAGUUAGCGGAUGACUUGUGGCUAGGGGAGAAAUUCCAAUCGAACCCGGAGAUAGCUGGUUCUCCCCGAAAUAGCUUUAGGGCUAGCGUCGGAAAGAACCUUAGUGAAGGUAGAGCACUGAAUGUGUGAUGGCCCCAUCCCGGGGUACUGAAUACAAUCAAACUGCGAAUGUCAUUAAGGAUGUCCGGCAGUCAGACUGUGAGUGAUAAGGUCCAUGGUCAAGAGGGAAACAGCCCAGACCGCCAGUUAAGGUCCCAAAAUACAGGCUAAGUGGAAAAGGAUGUGGGGAUGCCCAGACAACUAGGAGGUUGGCUCAGAAGCAGCCAUCCUUUAAAGAGUGCGUAACAGCUCACUAGUCGAGUGACCCUGCGCCGAAAAUGUACCGGGGCUAAGCCUGAUACCGAAACUGCGGAUUGUAGGAAACUAUAGUGGUAGGGGAGCGUUGUAUACGAGCAGAAGCCGUACCGUGAGGAGCGGUGGAUUGUAUAGAAGUGAGAAUGCCGGUGUGAGUAGCGAGAUGUAGGUGAGAAUCCUACACACCGAAAGCCCAAGGAUUCCAGGGGAAGGUUCGUCCGCCCUGGGUAAGUCGGGACCUAACGCGAGGCCGAAAGGCGUAGUGGAUGGAAAGCAGGCGAAAGAUUCCUGCACCCGUAUAUGGAGCGAAGGAGUGACGGAGACGGAUAGUGUGACCCUCUUAAUGGAUUGAGGGCGAAGCGAAGCGGCUGGUUACCAGGCAAAUCCGGUAACCAUAAGGCUAGAGCGUGACAGGUAAGCGAAAUCUUCGGAAAGUAGCGAAGCACAUGAUGACGGCUUCCAGGAAAAGCUUCUGGCAAUGCAUAUGCGGCCCGUACCAAAACCGACACAGGUGGGCAGGGAGAGAAUCCCGAGGUGAGCGAGAGAACUGUUGCCAAGGAACUCGGCAAAAUGACUCCGUAAGUUAGCGAGAAGGAGUGCUUAAGCAAUUAAGCCGCAGUGAAGAGGCCCAAGCGACUGUUUAACUAAAACACAGCUCUCUGCGAAGUCGCAAGACGAAGUAUAGGGGGUGACACCUGCCCGGUGCUGGAAGGUUAAGAGGAUCUGUUAAGAGCGAUCUGAAGCAGUGAUCCGAAGCCCCAGUGAACGGCGGCCGUAACUAUAACGGUCCUAAGGUAGCGAAAUUCCUUGUCAGGUAAGUUCUGACCCGCACGAAAGGUGUAACGAUUUGGGCGCUGUCUCGGCAGCAGACUCGGUGAAAUCUUAGUACCUGUGAAAAUGCAGGUUACCCGCAACUAGACGGAAAGACCCCAUGGAGCUUUACUGCAGCCUGAUAUUGAAUUCUGGUCAUACAUGUACAGGAUAGGUGGGAGACAAAGAGACGUGCACGCCAGUGUACGAGGAGUCGACGUUGGGAUACCACUCUUGUGUGACCGGGGUUCUAACCUGGUAUCGAGAACAGGUACGGGGAGAGUGUCAGGUGGGCAGUUUGACUGGGGCGGUCGCCUCCCAAAGAGUAACGGAGGCGCCCAAAGGUACGCUCAGAUUGGAUGGAAACCAAUCGUCGAGUGCAAUUGCAGAAGCGUGCUUGACUGUGAGACAGACAAGUCGAACAGGGACGAAAGUCGGGAAUAGUGAUCCGGCGGUGCCGAAUGGAAGGGCCGUCGCUCAAC
rnacentral:rRNA from 1 species